CGCAGGAUGCAGAUCAUGAUGAAGAAGAUGGGCAGCGCGAGGAAGAUAAUGUUGAUGCUCUUACUGCUAGUCGUUCUCAUCGCCUCACAUGAGGCGGCCAGAAUUGGGGUGGGCACUGAAACUGAAUUGUUUUCUUGCGGCGAUGACAACAAUCCAGAGAUCAAGUGCCUCUAUAGGUGCAUAAUACGGCCGGGCCUAUGCAACAAGUGCUGCAAGAAAUCAGGCUUCGUCAGCGGCAAGUGCGUGGGGGGUGGCUGCUACUGCUGCACUGCACCACUUGACAAAUAAUCCAACCCCACUUGCUUCACACCCGCGCGCUCGUGCCUCUGCUAUAUGCAUUCAUGUACUCCAGCAAAUUAAAAUAAUAAUCGGCGUCUGCAUGAAUAGAUGGAUGGAUGUGUGGUUCUCCUUUUAA